UCGGCUGGCUCUUCGCCUCUUCCCGCUGCUGUUGCCGCCGCCGCUACCAUCCACCCCCUCUGCCCCCCACCCCCUCCGUCUAUCGACCGCAGGAUGCCGGCGCCGGAGGUUCGAUACGGAGCAGUGACACUCCGGAUCAAUACCGCCUGAAUAAAAACCCGCUCGCCCCUCGCCACUUUCUGCUUUCCCCUCCUUUCCUCUCUCGUCUCCUCUUCGGCGGCCGGGCAGGAAGAGUUGGGGGGGGGCGCCUUUCGCUGCCCUGGGCUGGCCUUCGCAAGCCGGGCCGGGGGUCCCGCGCCCUCUUUGGGGGCUCCCCUUCCCUCUCUCGCCCGGCUUCCUUCCUCUCGCUUGCCUCCUUACCGUUUGCAGAGCGCAGGGCGAGCGGCGAUUUGAGGCGCCAUCCGUGCUCCGGGCCGGCGGAUCUUUGGAAGACCAAGGGGACCGGCAGCGGGAUGAACAUUGCGAGGACCUGUCACACAGGACACACCUACACAAUCCCAACCCAUUGUAAGAGAUGUUCCCCUUAUAUUAUAACAAAAGCCAAAACGAAUUUGCCUUUGACUUCAUCGGAAGAAGAAGCCAGGGGAAAGAGAGGCUGUAGUUGUGUUCCAUUCCGGCUUCCAGGGAGAAAAGAAAGCCAGUAUUCAAGCAUGGGAGAAGAUAAAAUCGGAGCUGGAAAGGAAGAUGGCAUGGAAUAAUGGAUAAAAAGAGGGGUUUUUAAAAUAUAUAUAAUAUAGCCUGACGUUCAAUGAGUUUCUUUAGCUGAGCUCAAAGCCAGUGGGAUUUUCAACAAUUUUUUUUUUUCACAUACGCUGGUCCUCCUUCAUGCUAUAUUACAAACUGGUUUUAAAAUUGUUUCAAAACUAGGGCCUGCUUGAUAACAUUUUGCUAAAGUCCUUUUCAGUGAAAGCACCCAUUCAUGCUGUUCUCUGGGUCUUCAUUCUUCUCCAGAGAACAUAGAGAGGUGUGCAUGUGUGUAUGUGCUAAUUAACCCAGCUUUCUAGCUGCAGUUCAAAGACAGUUGAGUGCAAAACGGUUUUCCACACAAUUAAAAGAUGUAGAUAAUAACUACAGACACUCCAUGGCACAUCCUGUUUCUUAGAAGAUGAAAGAAGAGGGACUAACCAUACGUGGUUGUUGGGCUUGACAGAAUGUUUCCUGCUACCCAGAAUUGUAUGGGCAGUCUAAAUUCCUAGAUGCUUGCAUCCAACUAAAAGAUGGAUACAAACCCGUUUUUUUUUUUUGAUAGGGAAUUUAAAAAAAAAAAA